GGGAAGGGGGGGGGGGCUUGGGGACACCCCGGGGACACCCCCGGGUUUAUCGCGACAGAGGCGACAGCGGCGACAUGGCCGGGCUGGGGCUGGGAGCGGGGCUGCGGCUGCUGCGGCGGAUCCCGCCCGGAUUUGGGGGGUCCCGGCUGCAGAGCAGGCACGAGGCGCAGGCCGUGCUCCCCAAAAGUGGAACUGCC